rnacentral:pre_miRNA from 1 species
AAAGGUCCUACAGGGGCGACCUGAGAACACAUAUCGAAUCACUUUUUCGCACGACCUUUUAAAAGUCGAAAGCUCAAAUGGAAAAACACUACGAUGAAAUUGUGAUAUACACGUGGUCUCAUGUCGACCCUAUUGGACCUUU